UUCAACAAGGUGCCCUCAACCAGAGACAAACAAGGAGGAGGCUAAAAUGGAAGGGGAUGCUAAAGACUCACACAGACUGAAGAAGUAUAUAUUGAACUUAACCACGGCCUAUUUUUGCAAGUCUUGAUGAACGUGCUCCACCAAUAACAUUUUGUGAUAGAUUGAAGACAUGCUAGUUCGAAACAAAGGAUGCAUAUGAAGGACAAUUCAAAAUCCGUGGAGAUUGAAAAGACAAAAACAAG